CCUUCUCACCAUGCCCCCUUUUGGGGACGCAGGGUUGAGUGAUAACAGCACGAGGAUAAGGGGGUUCUGACCCCAGGGCGUGGUGUCCACCGACUUAAAACGCCACGUAGGUAAACGAGGUGGGGGGGGGCGCAGAUGAAACAUUCUGAAGAAAGGAAACACUAGAUUAAGAUUUUUUUUAAUUGGCAAAGAAACCCCCUAUAGUAUAUAAUUUUUAUUUGACAAGAUGAAAGUAACCAUCUAUUUGGGGGCUAUUUUGCUUCCCUGCCCUCUUUCGUCAGUGACAGCAUUGAUUAUCUUCUGACGCAGACUGUCUGUGCAGAGCAGGGGCGAGUGUGAUUCAGGCGUGCUGUCGACCCUUCCCCGUGAGGCAGAAGUGAAGGCGGAGCCCGUCUGCCCGACGACGCCCCACGCGUCCCUGAGACGGCGCUUACCCCGACGCGCUCCGGAUGCGGGAGCUGCGCAGCCCAAUGGAAAACGCGCUUUAUCAGCAGAACCCUGUGACCCUCUUUGUUUGGAGCCGGUACCGCCAUCUGCAGCUGCGAAGCCGUCAUUCCGAGGGCUCAGGAUGAGCGCCAGGGCGACCACUGGCACCAUAAUGCGAGCAGCCCCAACAAAACAUGCAGAGUGCCAAGUGUGACUGAGGCUCUGCUCUGGCUGCUGCUGGCAGAAAAUAAUGCCAGUUUGGGGGAAGGAAUGUUCUGGAGCUCCCCUCCCUGCAGGUCAGGAACACCAGUCGUGCCUGAUUCUGUCAUGACUCCUGCAGAACCCUGCAGUUCCAAGUUUACUCCCACUGUGCAAAAUCUGGGAUACCGUACCGGUGCCAGGAGAACUGGGCAGCAUAAAAGGGGCCCUCGGACUUCCCAUCUUGCAACUGAACAGUCCCAUGGAAACUGGGUAGUCGGUGACAGAGUGACGCAGAACUGACAUGGAGGUACGAUCUCACUCUCUGAAACACCGCUGAGCUCCAUGACCACAUUCGUACUGCCAACUCCAAUGUGCAGAGGGAUUGUCCAAGGCCGCGUUCCUAAGCUUGGUGUCCAAAGGCUGCCUGAGCCGACUCGGCGCGGUCUGCCCCAGUGUGUGACCUCAGAGGCUGCAGAGGUGACAUCAGCUGCAAGCCCCAGCCUUCCUGCCGGCCCCCAUCUCUCCAAGCGUGCCUCUACCUACAUGGUAUUAACAGCAGUUCACAGCAGCUGGCAUCUGAGCCAAUGAGACGAGCAGGUCAGCUGCUGAGCCCAGUACAGCGCUGGGCUGGUGGGCUCUGUGCCCCGGGGGACGAGAGCAGAGCACAGCGGCCCACCCGGUGACAAAGUUCGGAGCCAACGGCUGAGAGCCAUGGGGGGCGCCGGGCUCUUCCAGCACAGCCCGGCCCCGUGGGGAGCCUCGCGUGAAGGUGGCGGCAGACGCAGAAGGCAAGGGCGAAAGGACAGACGCCCCUGUCCCCACUGCCACUGCACUCAGCAGUAGGCUGAGUGUGGGGUCUUGAAAAAUGCCCCGGGACAUCUGACGCUUUUUUUCCCAACGCCAAGCUGGCUUUAGAGUGAAAAGUUCCCUGAAUUUGUCAAGCAGUGGACUGUCUCCUGACCACAUCCAGUGGUCUCAUCACUGUCAGCCUCCCCAGCAGACCAUAUAAUCUUCACGAACAAGGAGUGAUUUCAGGACCACGAAAGGGCCAUGCUGACCUGGCGGUAUUUUCUCUCUCUAGAGCCCCACGUGUGCUUCCCGACUGGGCCUGACUUUUGCGCACCGACAAGGGGCCUUCAGCUAAGGUCUGUCUUCUGCAAGAGUCUUUCUAUCUGCACUCUAUAUUUCUCUCCGUUUGGUUUCAGCUGGCAUUUCUGGGCUGAGCCCACUCCCCUUGCGUGUUUACGAUCCCAGAGCUCAGUGUGCUGGCAAUGUCCUAAAGAGGGACCAGCACCCCACCUGGCUUUGCUCCAACCUCUACAAUUUGGGGUUCAAUACCACACUGACUUGUCGGUCGUAUCCUGCUCCUAUUAUUUAUUUGAUCAAGACCAGAUCCCUUAACCAGGCAUUCAAAAUUGCCUCACACCUCAAUCUUCUCUCUUAAAACACCUGCUGCGAACACUCCAUCUAUGAGCCUCCUUCAGCCGCAGGGCCAAGUCUUCGAUCGACCCUCCCUCCCCACACAGAUCACCUUUCCCUGUGUUCUGAGUGUAACGAUUAUAUUCUGUCUUGAACCCUUUCAAACUCAUCCCAAAUACCUCUUCCUUCACCAAGUCUCCCUAGACGGCUUCAGCUCACAGAGAUCUCUCUCCUGGUGUCCCCAAAGUAAAAACUCCCUGACAACCUGGGAACAGUUCAUUCUCUUCCAUGUUCCCUGACUGACCGACGUGUGUUAGUCUGGCCUCCCUGACUGAAUGACAAAUUCCUUAAUGGAAGGGAAAGAGCCACCUGCUGGUCCCCCUCCCAGUGGCUGUGCUGCUGCUGGCAUAAGAAAGAUGCUCAAUAAACACCAGCUAAGUUCAAUCCAAUACAGCAACUUGGGUCAUACAUGAUACUCUCAACAGGAAACACCAGGCGAGCAGGCUGGUGUCAGGCCUCAUGGAUUCCCCAGCGACUCCUCCAGAUGCGAUACAGACGGGGCCAUGUGUGCGGCCCAUUCAUCUGCUGCAGCCAAAUGGGCUGAGUUUAAAUUAAAUCAAAGGAGUAUGUGUGAGUCUAUCCACUGCUUUUCUAAAAAGUACAUUACAUUCUCAAUAGCUUAAUUUAUAUUUUUACAAGUCAAGAUAUGUCCAUUUACACCGAUCCUUCCUAAAAUAUUUACUUUUGUAUCUUUUUAAAUUAAUUUUUACCAGCAAAGUUGAUUCAAACUUUACAUUUUUUGUUUUAAAUGAAGCUGGCCUUGUAUUGUCUUGCCUUUGAGAAUGAAACCAGCUGAACAAAUAUUCCCAUAGUCCACUUUCAGUCAUUCCCAUCCUUUUAAAUUCUGAUGAUUAUGCAAAUAACUCCCAAAUAUAUGCUCCUCAACGUCACCUUUCUUCUGAGAGACGAUUCCACAUCUACUAACAGAAAAGAUCUUGUUCAAGUUAAGCACAAUAAACUCCUUCUGUAUCCCAAAAUUCUACUUGCAAGGCUGCUUGAAAUUUAUAAUUCAUUUUCCAUAGAAACUGCAUUAUAAAUAGUAAUUCAGUUAGUUCUCUGGCUGGGAAACAAAGCUUAGCUAAUCCAUCUGCAAUGAAAAGUAGCAGUGAGCAAUAUGGUGACAGUAUGAGUAAUUAAAUGGAACACUAAAAAGUGAAUGUAAGAAAAUAAGUUUAUCUUGUUUGUUAAUAUUUGAAGAAAAGCACUUUUACUUAGAGGCCAGGGAGAUGGAGAUUGCAGAGAUCUAGAGGACUUCCGUUAGCUAUGGCCAUGCAAUCCUAAAGCCUUUCGGGGUACUGUGUGAUCCCCUAGAGAGCAGCUAGAAUGACGUUCUCAGCCGAAGAUGGGAGGACAGGGAGGUGAGCUGGUCACCCAUCGGCUCUUGUCCAUCUCAGCCACCACUGAACCCUGAGCAGAGCGAACAGACCUGUCAGGAGGUUACAACCGUGCAGAAAAGCAACAUGGGGGUGAAAGAGCCCUUGCGUGGGGGCAGAGCUCCUUUCCUGAGACUCUCCAGUAUCUUCCUUUGUAAAGAGGAGACAGUGGUGCCCCCUCCCCACAGCUGCUGCGAGGAGUAAGGGAGACUGCUUGGACAGACCUGUAACUGCGCCUGAUACGUACGCAUGCACGGACCGGUACAUCAGUGAAAUCGGAUGCAGAGCUUCCUGUCAGAGCCUCCAACUGACCAGCCUCCAGCAUAUGUUUUCACGUGGACGAAUGCCCACUUCAACAGCUUGGGGCUGGAGUUCA